GAAUGGGAAAGAGCGUGUGGGCCCAUGUUCAAGUCCAAAUGGUCUACCCGAUUGUGCUCUGGGAACCUGGGAGAAGUCCAUUACUGUAGACUUGUUCUCAUCAGUGCUGUGUGUGAUACGGUUGAGUUACAGGAUCGAUCUUUCCAACUGAAAUUCUGCGAUUCUCAGUCAAGAUGAUAAUUCUGGUCAUUUUUACACCCUUCCUUCAGAAGUUUAGUCUCCUAACCUCACCUCAAGGUCCCCUGCUUCAGGAAUCUUUUCUCCUCGUGUCUAUAACCCCCCCCCCACACACACACACACUGUAAGUGGUCCCCUAAUCAGUUGGCAUGUUUUCAAGCAGUGUAAUGGAGACCUAUCACUUGGCACACUGACAACAUUAGCCUGGCCCUUAGGACUUUUGACACACCAUGUAAAGGCUGUUUGAACCCUUAGUUUCCACUAAGGGGUUUUGGUAACAGCACUGGAGGUAACACAUGCAUGGAGUAUUUGGUACCUUUGCUGGCAGAAGAGGAACCUUAAGAACAGCAGUUGAUAUUUGGAAGGGUCUCACUGUCUUGGGUGCUAGAGAUUCCACAAACAGCGAAACAGCGCAUGGCCCAUUUGUGACCCAGAAAGUCUCUGACCUCCGCUGUGGCUGUCAGUGGUGGCCAGAAGCCAACUUCAUGUCUGAAGGCACGGGCAACGGUUUGUCAUGGAGAGCUUGGGGCUGCAGACGGUGACCCUUAGUGAUGGGACAACAGCCUAUGUCCAACAGGCCAUCAAAGGAGAGAAACUACUUGAAGGUCAGGUGAUCCAGUUGGAGGACGGGACCACCGCAUACAUUCACCAAGUGAUGAUCCAGAAAGAGUCUCUCUCCUUUGAGGAUGGACAGCCUGUGCAGCUGGAAGAUGGCAGCAUGGCCUACAUACACCACACACCUAAAGAGGGCUAUGACCCCAGUGCCCUGGAAGCCGUCCAGCUGGAGGAUGGCUCCACUGCCUACAUUCACCACCCCGUGGCUAUACCGUCAGACAGCACCAUCCUGGCGGUGCAGACUGAGGUGGGCUUGGAGGACCUGGCGGCAGAAGAUGAAGAGGGCUUCAGUGCAGACACGGUGGUGGCCCUAGAACAGUAUGCCACCAAGGUUUUGCGUGAAAGCCAGACUCCCCGUAAUGGCACCGCGCAGCAGGUUGGAGACAGAGCGUUCCGCUGUGGGUACAAGGGCUGUGGGCGUCUCUACACCACUGCCCAUCACCUCAAGGUGCACGAACGGGCUCACACGGGUGACCGGCCCUACAGGUGUGACUUCCCCAGCUGCGGAAAGGCCUUUGCCACAGGCUACGGGCUAAAGAGCCAUGUUCGCACCCACACCGGGGAGAAGCCGUACAAGUGCCCGGAGGAGCUGUGCAGCAAGGCCUUCAAGACCUCAGGGGACCUGCAGAAGCAUGUCCGGACCCACACAGGUGAACGCCCGUUCCGGUGCCCUUUCGAGGGCUGUGGCCGCUCCUUCACCACGUCAAAUAUCCGCAAGGUCCAUGUGCGCACCCACACAGGCGAACGGCCGUACACCUGCCCCGAACCCCACUGUGGCCGUGGCUUCACCAGCGCCACCAACUACAAGAAUCACGUGCGCAUCCACACAGCCCCAGUUCCCACCCCCCCUCACAGCCCAGUGUCCCCAGGGGAGAAGCCAUACGUUUGCACGGUACCGGGCUGCGGGAAGCGCUUCACCGAGUACUCAAGCCUGUACAAACACCACGUGGUGCACACGCACUGCAAGCCCUACACGUGCAGCAGCUGCGGCAAGACCUACCGGCAGACCUCCACGUUGGCCAUGCAUAAGCGCAGCGCGCAUGGCGAGCUGGAGGCCACGGAGGAGAGCGAGCAGGCCCUGUAUGAGCAGCAGCAGCUGGAGGCUGCCUCUGCCACUGAGGAAAGUCCACCACCCAAGCGAGCGCACAUUGCCUACCGUUCAGAGAUGAAGGAAGAGGGGGAUGACGUCCCAGCCCAAGUCGCCAUGGUGACCGAGGAGGACGGAGCCCCACAGGUGGCUCUGAUCACUCAGGACGGUGCCCAGCAGCAGGUCAGCCUGUCCCCAGAAGACCUGCAGGCCCUAGGAAGUGCCAUCAGUGUGGUGACCCAGCAUGGCAGCACCACGCUCACCCUUCCCAGUCAUGACGAUGACUUGGCCACAUCUGGCACACAUACGGUCACCAUGGUCAGCGCUGAUGGCACCCAGACACAGCCCGUAUGGCCAGGCGGUGACAAUCAUUACCUCUGGGGCGGUGGUGGCUGAGGACUCGAGCGUAGCAUCUCUUCAUCAUCAACAGGUGGCGCUGUUGGCCACGGCCAACGGAACUCACAUUGCAGUGCAGCUGGAGGAGCAGCAGACCCUGGAAGAGGCCAUCAGCGUGGCCACCGCUGCCAUGCAGCAAGGGGCGGUGACCCUGGAGACCACCGUGUCAGAGAGCGGCUGCUGAGCCCAGGAGGGCUGGAGGAGAAGCCACGCUCGCACACAGCUGGGCCGCCGGGCCCCCGCCGGGGCUGACACGUGAAUGGCGGCCACAGAGGUCUCGGGGUGAGAAGGCCGCAGGAAAGCAGCCCAGGUGCAGGGGCUGGGGCCACGCCUGAGAAGAGGGCUAGGCCGUGGGAGACGCCCCAGGUACCCACUCUUCCUCUUCAGUCCUCUCCCUUCUCAGAAAGAUGGGGACUUGGUGGAUGAGCACUGGCCUCCACCCGGACUGGUCACAUCUGCCAGGGGAAGGACAGACAGUUUUUCAACCCAGCCUCUCCCAGCAAUAAUCACCUCCUGGGGCAGCCAAGAUGCCUGGCAACUUGGCACUAGGGACCUCCUGCCACCACAGUCAGAAUGAAUUCCUCAGGGGCCUGUGAUGGAGUGAAGGGGUCCUCUCCAACACCCCCCAGCACCCCCUAACCUCUGUAGCAAAGAGGCAGGGAGUGGCCCGUACCUGGACUGCUGGGGUUAGGGUUGAAUUUGUUCCGUGAUUUUUUUUUAAUUCCAUUUUGAUAAUUUUUUUUUUUCCUGCUCUGGGUGGUGGUGGCAAGCGGGUGAAUGAGUAUUUAAUAAAAGUUCCAAGUUUC